rnacentral:rRNA from 1 species
GAGAGAGACAUGCGCGCAUAUCAAUAAGCGGAGGAAAAGAAACUAACUAGGAUUCCCUCAGUAACGGCGAGUGAAGCGGGAAGAGCUCAAAUUUGAAAUCUUCAAGGUUCUACCUUGACGAAUUGUAGUUUAAAGAAGUGUUUUCUGUUGGAGUUUUGGUAAAAGUUCUUUGGAAUAGGACAUCAUAGAGGGUGAGAAUCCCGUAUUUGACCAUUAUUUCCAGCUUUGUGAUACACUUUCAAAGAGUCGGAUUGUUUGGGAAUGCAGUCCAAAAUGGGUGGUAAAUUUCAUCUAAAGCUAAAUAUUGGCGAGAGACCGAUAGCGAACAAGUACCGUGAGGGAAAGAUGAAAAGAACUUUGAAAAGAGAGUUAAACAGUACGUGAAAUUGUCAAAAGGGAAGCGUUUGACACCAGUGUUGUUUUCUCGAAAAUCAAUUAAAAAAGGCAGGAUUUUGUGUUGUAUUGACUUUAUCAGCUUCUGCACUUCAAUUUUCUUGUCUUUUUUAAUGCACUUUUCGUUUAACAAGUCAACAUCAGUCUCUUUUGUUGUAAAAGGGUCAUUGGAAGGUGGCUUUCUUUUCGGAGAAAGUGUUUAUAGCCUUUGCCUCUGCAAUCGGAGAGAUUGAGGUCUGCAGCGUAGAUCCUUCGGGGUUAGAUACAUUUGUGCUAAGUUAUAGCCUUUUCAUAGACAACUUGUUGACUAUGAUCAGUCAUGUAGCUUACUCGCUUAUGCUAUUUUACCUACGCUUAGGAUGUUGAUGUGAUACUGCGAGCA